AGUUUGAUCAGUGGCUCGAGGACGAACGCUGGCGGCGUGCUUAACACAUGCAAGUCGAACGGUAAGGCCCUUCGGGGUACACGAGUGGCGAACGGGUGAGUAACACGUGGGUGGUCUGCCCUGCACUUCGGGAUAAGCCUGGGAAACUGGGUCUAAUACCGGAUAGGACUCCUGGCUUCAUGGUUGGGGGUGUAAAGCUUUUGCGGCGUGGGAUGGGCCCGCGGCCUAUCUGCUUGUUGGUGGGGUAAUGGCCUACCAAGGCGACGACGGGUAGCCGGCCUGAGAGGGUGACCGGCCACACUGGGACUGAGAUACGGCCCAGACUCCUACGGGAGGCAGCAGUGGGGAAUAUUGCACAAUGGGCGCAAGCCUGAUGCAGCGACGCCGCGUGAGGGAUGACGGCCUUCGGGUUGUAAACCUCUUUCAAUAGGGACGAAGCGCAAGUGACGGUACCUAUAGAAGAAGGACCGGCCAACUACGUG
rnacentral:rRNA from 1 species